UACGUAGGGGGCGAGCGUUGUCCGAAUUCACUGGGCGUAAAGCGCGCGUAGGCGGGUUAUUAAGUUAGGGGUGAAAUCCCGAGGCUCAACCUCGGAACUGCCUUUAAAACUGUUAGCCUGGAGGUAUGGAGAGGGAAGUGGAAUUCCUGGUGUAGCGGUGAUAUGCGUAGAUAUCAGGAGGAACACCCGUGGCGAAGGCGGUUUCCUGGCCAUAUCCUGACGCUGAGGUGCGAAAGCUAGGGUAGCGAACGGG
rnacentral:rRNA from 1 species